rnacentral:rRNA from 1 species
GAUGAACGCUGGCGGCGUGCCUAAUACAUGCAAGUCGAGCGAACAGAUGAGGAGCUUGCUCCUCUGACGUUAGCGGCGGACGGGUGAGUAACACGUGGAUAACCUACCUAUAAGACUGGGAUAACUUCGGGAAACCGGAGCUAAUACCGGAUAAUAUAUUGAACCGCAUGGUUCAAUAGUGAAAGACGGUUUUGCUGUCACUUAUAGAUGGAUCCGCGCCGCAUUAGCUAGUUGGUAAGGUAACGGCUUACCAAGGCAACGAUGCGUAGCCGACCUGAGAGGGUGCUCGGCCACACUGGAACUGAGACACGGUCCAGACUCCUACGGGAGGCAGCAGUAGGGAAUCUUCCGCAAUGGGCGAAAGCUUGACGGAGCAACGCCGCGUGAGUGAUGAAGGUCUUCGGAUCGUAAAACUCUGUUAUUAGGGAAGAACAAAUGUGUAAGUAACUAUGCACGUCUUGACGGUACCUAAUCAGAAAGCCACGGCUAACUACGU